CUCUCUGGGUCAUUUAUGAUCAUCUUCCGGAAGCUUCUGCAUAUUGAGCCCACAGCGGAGAAAUCUCGGCAGCGUGGGUUUGCAUUAUGGGAUAAGCCAGCCAUCUGGCUAGAUGCUAGAUCCCGAUGUUUUUCUGCCUCAGAUAUUAGUACAGUACAAUUAAAAGUCAGCUGCCUUUCCUGGCCCCACAACCCAAAAGCUGUUGGGUAACGAGCCCUGUGCCCUCCAAAGCAGUGGAGCAUGUUUCCAGUGUGGACAGAGGUUAUCUGUGCUAGACAUUCACUGCAGGGCAGUCUGCUGAGGGAUCCCUAACAAAGCCACUUCCUAUUCAAACCGUGCUUGCGGGAGAAAAGCAGAGCUCUGAGUCCUAUGGAUUAAAGCAAAGCUGUUGCAAAGUCUGUCAGGUGACUAUUUUUAGAAGAUGCAGUAAGUGAGUAACAACUGCCAGCAGAACUCAGAGGUGAGAGUCAGAACUUCAGAAAAGCCAUAAGGCCACGAUCUCUGGAGUCU